rnacentral:lncRNA from 10 species
GUAACGCCCGGCCCUGCCCCCAGCAGAGGCGGAAGCGGUGUCGCUCUGAGGGGUCGCCAGUCGCCGCAGGCGCUUCAGCCCAGCGGCGGGCCUUGGCCCUUGGCUGCCUACUCCUACCGCCCCAGCCCCGGGCGGCCCUGGGCCUGCUGCGGGCGCGGCGCUGCCCGACCAGAGCUUCCUGUGGAACGUCUUCCAGAGGGUCGAUAAAGACAGGAGUGGAGUGAUAUCAGACACCGAGCUUCAGCAAGCUCUCUCCAACGGACAAAGGAAUCAUUAGGACAAAUUGUUAAUACUGCUUCAUGGUGGAGAUGCUUCUGGUUUAUUUUGUGGCUACCGCUGUUACUGCUUGGAGUGCCUCACCGAGCCAGGAUGAAGCCCCACCCGCCCUUCAGGAUGCCAGCCUUGGCAACAUCGUGAGACCCUGUUUCUACAAAAACUAAACAAGUGUAGUGGUGCACGCCUGUAUUCCCAGCUACUUGGGAGGCUGAGAUGGGAAGAUCACUUGAGCCUGGGAGGUUGAGGCUGCAUUGAGCUGAGAUCAAGCCACGGCACUCCAGCCUGGGAGACAGAGCGAAACCCCAUCUCAAAAAAACAAAGAAAGUGGAUGCGUGCUGCUCCUGCCAUUGGAUCAUCGCAGCAUUUUUCUUUUCUCUGAUAUGCGCCUUUUUCCUCAUCGUGGGGGCUCAUGUUUUCGUAAUUCCCUCUCGCUACUAGAUUGUGAGCUGUGUGAAGGAAGGUUCAUAGUUGAGUUGUAUGUACAGGCACACAAAAUUUGUCCUUGGAUAGACACAUAUCAAUCCACUUCCUUCUCCUCUCUGAAUUUCUUUAUUUAAAAAAAAAAGUAGAGAUGGAGUCUCACUGUCUUGCCCAGGCUGGUGUCAAACUCCUAGGCUCAAGUGAUCCUCCCACCUCUACUAAUAUGAAUUAUUAGGCUAUGCUAAUAUGAAUUUGUAUACUAAUAUGAUUGAAAUUAGUUUGACUUCUAUAAUAAUUGUUCUCCCAGAUUGGGCUUCUGUUUUGAUAGUAGAACUAAAUUAUUAGGCUAUUUCAAGAAAUUAAUAUAUUACUGGUAGAAAAACUGAAGCUACAAAAUGGCCUGGUUUCUCACUUCAGUUAAAUUUGUGCUUCUGAGUGCUUGUAUUCUAGGUGAAACCGCACUGAGAAGGUAUUUGUGGCCUAUACGCUGAUUCAUUGAUUAGACUUCUUUGCACAGGAGAGCUGCUAAAAAUUACUGCGGUGAACAGAUGGAGGCCCAUUGAGGCUUCUCUGUCCUCCACGGGGAACAGCAUUGGCCUAAACCUGCAGACACCAUUGCAAAGGGAAUUCAGGCAAACCGGCUGGUGAAGAAUGAUUCCAGCGUGGGGACAGAGGCUGACAUUUCUUGCGCACGUGGACUCCCUUUAAUCCAGUGACUGUCAGGUCGAUCAUAUACUACACUGAAGGCUGGUUACGCUCUUAUGUGCAAUAGAACCUCAAACACAUCGUAACACACCUUUGGAGAAUCCUUACAAGAACACCAAGUUAACAGUUAUCUCUGACCACACUACCUCAGCAAAAAACCAGGAAGAAAAAAUAUUCUUCAACCCUUUUCAGGGACAGAAAGCAUCAUUUCAAAAGUCCAAGAAGGGAAGGUAAGAAUUUCAGAAGUGAAAGUUAUCAUGAAAGGCUAUAAAAGCUUGAGAUGAGUCUGAAAAACAAAUGGAAAAUGAGUCACUUCAGGGCCUCUCCCAGCCUCAAAGCCAAUUAAUUAUUACAUUAGUCAGAGUAAUUUUAAGCCUUCCAAUCCACUCACCCUAGCCACAGGCAACAGUAGCCUCUCCAAGUGUUAAGGGUUUUUUUCCCAAGCCUGCAGGCGGAUGAGCUUUUUACAUGGCAGCCCCUUAGGAUUGGAUGUGGACCUGCCCUGUCUUUCACCAAGAAGCAAGCACUGCGCAGAUCACUGAAUCAUAAAAACCACCUGCUCUUACCAGCCUCCUCUUCCUCUACAGCAAAACUUCUGACCUGAGACAUCGAAGCAGAUAAAAAGCCGCUACACAAAAUGUAUCGCUACAACUAGAGGGCAGUCUUGCCUUUCUUCCAUUCAAUUAUUCAGUUUCUCAUGUUCCUAAGUGCCAGCCCAGAACCAUGGAAUGUGAAGAAACACAAAACUCACUCCUCUGCAUCAGUGAAUUGAUUGUGUGGUGGGGAUGUAAGUCUGCAUGUGACUGACAGUUCCCCAAAGUGGUGCCAAGUCAAUCUAAACUAGAGAGAAUUUCUGGCCAGGCCAAGCAGAGAUUUCAUGGAUGAAGUCUCCCAAAGACUGAUUUCCUAAACAUUAAACAUCACUGGUUUUCCAAAACUGGUUUUCUUUUUUUUUUUUUAACCCUGUUUCUCAGGCUGGAGGGCAAGUGGUGCCAUCUCCACUCACUGCAGCCUCGACCUCCCAGGCUCCACUGAUCUUCCCACCUCAGCCUCCUGAGUAGCUGGGACUACAGGUGUGCACCGCCACGACUCGCUAAUUUUUGUAUUUUUUGUAGAGACGGGGUUUUGCUGUGUUGCUCAGGCUGGUCACUCGAUCUGCCCACCUGGGUCUCGCAGAGUGCUGGGGUUACAGGUAUGAGCCACCACGCCCAGCCCACUGGUUUCCUUUACACCCGUUUUGUUCCCCAGCAGUCCUUAUGAGGGCACCUGAAAUAAGGAACCUCCUCCCCGACUUGAGAGCAGCAAAGCCUUCAGAGGGAACUAAGUUAUUAAAACCCACCCCACACAAAAUGCUUCUAAACGCCUUGGCUGACUUAAUCCUUGCAGUGUGCUGAGGUUAAGUAUGAUUAUCCAUCUCCUGUGAACAGGAAGACUGAGGCUCAGAGCUUAAGUGAUUUGCCCACGGUUCACUGCAGGGGAUAAAACUCGGCUGUCCCUGGCAGGUCCCAAAGUCACGGCCUUCAGGCUCCCACACCAUGCUGCCUCCCUCACCGGGGCUCCACACUCUCAGCCUGGAAAACACUAAUUUUAAGAAAACCAUGACUUACGAAAAGCAGCCAAUCCCAGCAUUGGAACCAACAGGGCAUAAUUCCACCUGCUUCCAUCACCACCAUCCGCCCUGGAAUUAGGCCGGAUAUUCCAAUUUGGGGGAUCAUUUAGGUUAUUCAUGGAGAUAUACCUUGAAGUAAAGAAUAAAAACGUUAACUACUUUUAUUCAAGAAAUUUUUCUUCAGUUUUAACUAUGUGCUUGCUGCACAGCACUGAGGCCCUACGGGAUUCAAAGAAGAAAAAAACUAGACCAGAGCCGGGCAUGGUGGCGGGCACCUGUAGUCCCAGCUACUCGGGAGGCUGAGGCAGGAGAAUCGCUUGAACCUGGGAGGUGAAGGUUGCAGUGAGUCGAGGUCGCGCCACUGCACUCCAGCCUGGUGACAGAACGAGACUCCGUCUCAAAAAAAAAGAAAAAGAAAAAGGAAAAAAAAACAAGACCUUAGGUGAAAGCGACUCACAAUCUGGUUGGGGAAAGUGGAGAAAACAGACAUGUCUUAAGCAUCUGAAGUGCAGGUAGAAUCAGGUAAGUUCUCUGGUACAAAUAUAUUUAAAUGUAUGGCUGCUGCGAUGGUUAAUUUUGUUUGUCAACUUGACGGCAUCAUGAGGUGCUCAGAUACAUGGUUAAGCAUUAUUUCUGGGCGUGUCUGUAAGGGUGUUUUUGGAUGAGAUUAGCAAUUGAACCUUUAAACC